rnacentral:rRNA from 1 species
GUGUCAGCCGCCGCGGUAAUACGUAGGUGGCAAGCGUUGUCCGGAGUUACUGGGUGUAAAGGGCGUGUAGGCGGGAAGAUAAGUCAGAUGUGAAAUUCCAUGGCUCAACUGUGGCGCUGCAUCUGAAACUAUUUUUCUUGAGUGAUGGAGAGGAAAGUGGAAUUCCUAGUGUAGCGGUGAAAUGCGUAGAUAUUAGGAGGAACACCAGUGGCGAAGGCGACUUUCUGGACAUUAACUGACGCUGAGGCGCGAAAGCGUGGGGAGCAAACAGGAUUAGAUACCCCAGUAGUCC